rnacentral:rRNA from 1 species
UACGAAGGGGGCUAGCGUUGCUCGGAAUCACUGGGCGUAAAGCGUGCGUAGGUGGCGUGUUAAGUGUGAUGUUAAAUCGUGUGGCUCAACCAUAUCGAUGUGUCGCAUACUGGCAUGCUAGAGGGAAGCAGAGGCAAGUGGAAUUUGUAGUGUAGCAGUGAAAUGCGUAGAUAUUACAAGGAACACCAAUGGCGAAGGCAGCUUGCUGGGCUUCUUCUGACACUGAGGUACGAAAGCGUGGGGAGCGAACAGG